rnacentral:misc_RNA from 1 species
CACCACUCAAGCCCGGCUUGGUGUUGGGCGACGUCCUCUUUGGGGACGCGCCUCGAAACGCUCGGCGGCGUGGGACCGGCUUUAAGCGUAGCAGAAUCUUUCGCUUCAAAAGUCGGGGCCCCGUCUGCCGGAAGACCUACUCGCAA